GAACGAACGCUGGCGGCGUGCUUAACACAUGCAAGUCGAACGCGAAAGGGACUUCGGUCCUGAGUAAAGUGGCGCACGGGUGAGUAACGCGUAGAUAACCUGUCUUCAUGUCUGGAAUAAUACGCCAAAGGGGUACUAAUACCGGAUAUCUUGCUUUUCAUAAGUUAUGCAAGCAAAGGUGGCCUCUGCAUAUGCUACUGCAUGAAGAGGGGUCUGCGUACCAUUAGCUAGUAGGUGGGGUAAUGGCCUACCUAGGCGACGAUGGUUAGCGGGUCUGAGAGGAUGAUCCGCCACACUGGCACUGGAACACGGGCCAGACUCCUACGGGAGGCAGCAGUGAGGAAUAUUGCGCAAUGGGGGAAACCCUGACGCAGCGACGCCGCGUGAGUGAGGAAGGCCUUCGGGUCGUAAAGCUCUGUCAAGAGGAAAGAAGUGUACAAUGGCUAAUACCUGUUGUAUUUGACGGUACCUCUAAAGGAAGCACCGGCUAACUCCGUGCCAGCCGCAGC
rnacentral:rRNA from 1 species